AAAUCAAAGCAGCUGUAUCACCAUCUGGGAUCGUUACAUAUUUUGCAAAGAUCACCAAUAAUGUCAUCACCACUGGAGUUUGCGGUGGCCCAGGGGUGCAGUGAAGGCGAGAAAUACUUACAUGAAGUUUCCAUCAUGGCUGCUGCCAUCUGCAUCUGGGGACCGUCUUUAGCUCCUGGUGGUUUAUCUGCCAGGAGUCCUUGUCAGUGCUGUACUGUAGCACAUGCACGAGCAUACAACACUCGUGUUUCUGGAGAAUCCCACGAGAACAAGGGAGCCACCAUAGAUGUUGUCUUCAGAUCACUAAAACAAUCAGUGGAAACACUAGUGAUGGCUGAAAAAACUUGAUGACAGAGCUCUGCUUUUCAUGACAUUUUGUCAAGUGGUGGUAAAAUAAGUAAGAAAAGUUAGUCCCACCUCUUAGUGAACUCCAGUACUUUUUUGGGGGGAAAGUGGGUGUGACAGAGCUACUCUUCUAGCUGCCAACGCAAGAAUUAUAUUCAUAACAUAAUACAAUCAAUAAGAGAAUAUAUAAUAAUGGACAUGAUUACGAUGAAGAGAUCCAGGCACACCAUUACUGGUUCCAGCCUAGUUUCUGGUGCUUGUCAAUCCUUGAAGAAUCCUAUGUGCACUAACGUUACAUAGUAUGAUUUAAAUGGGAUUUGUCAUAUCGCAGAAUUGUUCAUAUUAUGUUUACUUAUCCCCUAUAUUUAAUCUAAAUGUUUGUGAAAUGUGAAAAUUAAAGGGACACUAUAGUCACCUGAACAACUUUAGCUUAAUGAAGCAGUUUUGGUGUAUAGAACAUGUCCUUGCAGCCUCACUGCUCAAUCCUCUGCCAUUUAGGAGUUAAAUCCCUUUGUUUAUGAACCCUAGUCACACCUUCCUGCAUGUGACUUGUACAGCCUUCCAUAAACACUUCCUGUAAAGAGAGCCCUGUUUAGGCUUUCUGUAUUGCAAGUUCUGUUUAAUUACGAUUUUCUAAUCACCUGCUAUGUUAAUAGCUUGAUAGACCCUGCAAGAGCCUCCUGUAUGUGAUUAAAGUUCAAUUUAGAGAUUGAGAUACAAUUAUUUAAGGUAAAUAACAUCUGUUUGAAAGUUAAACCAGUUUUUUUUUUCAUGCAGGCUCUGUCAAUCAUAGCCAGGGGAGGUGUGGCUAGGG